GCGUGGGUAACCUACCCAUAAAUCCGGGACAACCCUUGGAAACGAGGGCUAAUACCGGAUAAUCUUAGAGCCUGGCAUCAGGCAUUAAGGAAAGAUGGCCUCUGAAGAUGCUAUCGAUUAUGGAUGGACCCGCGUCUGAUUAGCUAGUUGGUGGGGUAAAGGCCUACCAAGGCGACGAUCAGUAGCCGGCCUGAGAGGGUGAACGGCCACACUGGGACUGAGACACGGCCCAGACUCCUACGGGAGGCAGCAGUGGGGAAUCUUCCGCAAUGGACGAAAGUCUGACGGAGCAACGCCGCGUGUAUGAUGAAGGUCUUCGGAUUGUAAAGUACUGUCUUUGGGGAAGAACGGUGGCUUUGAAAAUAUUGAGNCCACAUGACGGUACCCAAGGAGGAAAGCCCCGGCUAAUUACGUGCCAGCAGCCGCGGUAAUACGUAGGGGGCAAGCGUUGUCCGGAAUUAUUGGGCGUAAAGGGCGCGUAGGCGGAUUGUUAAGUCCGGUGUGAAAGAUCAGGGCUCAACCCUGAGAGUGCAUCGGAAACUGGGAAUCUUGAGGACAGGAGAGGAAAGUGGAAUUCCACGUGUAGCGGUGAAAUGCG
rnacentral:rRNA from 1 species